rnacentral:rRNA from 1 species
GACAAACGCUGGCGGCGUGCCUAACACAUGCAAGUGGAGCGACGAACCAGGCCUCGGCCUGGGGCAAAGCCGCGAACGGGUGAGUAACACGUGGGUAACCUGCCCUGAUGAUUGGGACAACCCGAGGAAACUCGGGCUAAUACCAAAUGUGCCCUUCGGCCACAAGGCCGCUGGGGAAAGGAAGCUUCGGCCUCCGCAUCUGGAUGGGCCCGCGGCCCAUUAGCUUGGUGGUGGGGUAACGGCNCACCAAGGCGACGAUGGGUAGCUGGUCUGGGAGGACGAUCAGCCACACUGGGACUGAGACACGGCCCAGACUCCUACGGGAGGCAGCAGUGGGGAAUCUUGCGCAAUGCGCGAAAGCGUGACGCAGCAACGCCGCGUGGGGAAGACGGCCUCGGUGUAACCC